CCGGCUUCAUCGAAGCCACCAUCUCGGCGGUGAUCAGCUUCGGCGCGGGACGGCCGGGGAUCAGCGCCGUGGUGAUGACGAUGUCCUGCUUCUUGAUGUGCUCUGCCGUGAGCGCGGCCUGCUUGGCCUGAUACUCUUUCGACAUUUCCUUGGCGUAGCCGCCGGCGGUCUGGGCGUUCUUGAAUUCCUCGUCCUCGACCGCGAGGAAUUUCG
rnacentral:misc_RNA from 1 species